GUCAAGGGCACAGGCCUGGGUUGGGGACUCGAUCCCAGUGGGGGGCGUGCAGGAGGCGGCUGAUCCAUGAUUCUCUCUCAUCAUGGAUGUUUCUCUCUCUCCCUCUCCCUUCCUCUCUGAAAUCAAUAAAAUAAUAUUUUUUAAAAAUUGAAUAAACCCACCCUAACCGGUUUGGCUCAGUGGAUAGAGCGUCGGCCUGCGGACUCAAGGGUCCCAGGUUCGAUUCCGGGCAAGGGCAUGUACCUUGGUUGCGGGCACAUCCCCAGUGGGGGGUGGAGUGUGCAGGAGGCAGCUGAUCGAUGUUUCUAACUCUCUAUCCCUCUCCCUUCCUCUCUGUAAAAAA